UGUUGUAUAUGUUUAUCAUACAUGCUAGUAGCCUAGAGCAUUUCUCCUUUACCAAGAUAAUACAUCCAGCUGCCAGGUGUGGCAUAUCAAGAAGCUGAUUAAACAGCAUGAUCAUUACACAGGUGCACCUUGUGCUGGGGACAAUAAAAGACCACUCUAAAAUGUGCAGUUUGGUCACACAAACGCAAUGCCACAAAUGUCUCAAGUUUUGAGGGAGCGUGCAACUGGUGUGCCGACUGCAGGAAUGUCCACCAGAGCUGAUGCCAGAGAAAUGAAUGUUCAUUUCUCUACCAUAAGCCACCUCCUCCAAUGUCGUUUUAGAGAAUUUGGCAGUAUGUCCAACCAGCCUCUACCGCAAACCACGUGUAUCCACGCCAGCCCAGGACCUGCACAGCCUGCUUCUACACCUGCUGGAUCGUCUGAGACCAGCUACCCAGACAGCUGAUGAAACUGUGGGAUCGUCUGAGACCAGCCACCCGGACAGCUGAUGAAACUGCUGGAUCGUCUGAGACCAGCCACCCGGACAGCUGAUGAAACUGCUGGAUCGUCUGAGACCAGCCACCUGGACAGCUGAUGAAACUGGGAUCGUCUGAGACCAGCCACCUGGACAGCUGAUGAAACUGGGAUCGUCUGAGACCAGCCACCCGGACAGCUGAUGAAACUGCUGGAUCGUCUGAGACCAGCCACCCAGACAGCUGAUGAAACUGGGAUCGUCUGAGACCAGCCACCCGGACAGCUGAUGAAACUGGGAUCGUCUGAGACCAGCCACCCAGACAGCUGAUGAAACUGGGAUCGUCUGAGACCAGCCACCCAGACAGAUGAUGAAAGUGAGUAUUUCUGUCUGUACUAAUGCUGCUCUAAUAUCUCUAUUGCUGGACAUACCAUUCUUAGUCUAUCUUGAGUAAAGUCUUCCGGUUUACAUACAUAUAAUUUCAUCUUGAUUACUGCUACUGUGCUAUUUGGGUGUUAAUCUGAUUCGACAUUCCUGAUUAGUUUUUUUUUCUGUACUUAAAAAAAAUAAAAAAAUAAAAACAUUUAAAUUAUUGUUGUACUUGUUUGAAAUUUUAAUCACAUACAUUAAAACCAGAUUUUACUACAUUGUUAGAAGCUAAUGACCUGUUCUGGUCAUUACUAAGGCAGUUCAUUCUGUUCUGAAGCAUCAGGUCAUUGUGUCAUUACUAAGGCAGUUCCUUCUGUUCUGAAGCAUCAGGUUAUUACUAAGGCAGUUAUUUCUGUUCUGGUCAUUUCUAAGGCAGUUCCUUCUGUUCUGAAGCAUCAGGCCAUUACGAAGGCAGUUCGUUCUGUUCUGAAGCAUCAGGUCAUUACUAAGGCAGUUCAUUCUGUUCUGAAGCAUCAGGCCAUUACUAAGGCAGUUCGUUCUGUUCUGAAGCAUCAGGUCAUUACUAAGGCAGUUCGUUCUGUUCUGAAGCAUCAGGUCAUUACUAAGGCAGUUCAUUCUGUUCUGAAGCAUCAGGCCAUUACUAAGGCAGUUCGUUCUGUUCUGAAACAUCAGGUCAUUACUAAGACAGUUCGUUCUGUUCUGAAGCAUCCGGUCAUUACUAAGGCAGUUCGUUCUGUUCUGAAGCAUCAGGUCAUUGUGUCAUUACUAAGGCAGUUCCUUCUGUUCUGAAGCAUCAGGCCAUUACUAAGGCAGUUCGUUCUGUUCUGCAGCAUCAGGUCAUUACUAAGGCAGUUAGUUCUGUUCUGAAGCAUCAGGCCAUUACUAAGGC